UAAUUUGGAUUUUUUUUCUUCUUUUUUUCGAAGUUAAUUUUGGAAACCAAAAUAAAAAAAAUAAAAUAGGAUAGAAAUUUUGGGUUUAGAACCCGUUUGGAUACCCCUAAAAAUGUAGCAUAUUUAAUGUAACAUACCGGACUUUUAAAGUUAUGAAGUCACGGUGUAUGUUGGGUUGGAAAACUAUUUGAAUGGUUCCGGUGAGGUUCGGUGAAGUUCGGAAGCUUUCGGGCAUUUUGGUGCGCGUAGGCGCGAAAACGGAAUCCGAAAGGCUAUGCUGGGCCGUGAGCUAAGUUUGGCAUUAGCGUGGAUGAAAAGAUGAUAGAGACAUGUUCGAAAACAUGUUUGGAGAAUGUAACAUAUUGGAACCCAGAAGGAAUUAUCGAACAUUAGCCAAAUUGGCUAAAGCAUGCGAAUAAGAUGAAUGGA
rnacentral:lncRNA from 1 species